ensembl:miRNA gga-mir-6617 gga-mir-6617
UGGAGUGCUCGAGCGGCUCCAACAAGAGGAGCGACUGGCGGCUCUGUAGAGCUUUUCGGCAGCAAGUGUUUCAGAGCAGGUCAGUCGUUUUCUAACGGAAAAAGAUGCUG